UGAAAUACUAGGUGCACCAUUCUUGAUUCGAAGUGUAAUGUGAAAGUAAGCAUAAACUAAGUUCUGUGUUCUAUCUUUUCAACAGGAAUGGAGGUAAUCGAGAUGAAAGAGAUAAGAGUAUGGUGAUGUGAAAAUAUUGGAGAAUGGCUAGAAAAAUAUAUUUAGAAAAGCAUGAAAAGGACGACCAAGGGAUUUUGGGAAAAUUUUCUUGGAGCUCAAGGAAAGAACCAUGAAGCUACAUAACAUAAUCAAAGAGGCCCUAAAUCCACUGUACCUUAACAAUGUUCACAUACAAGCCGAUCAAUGGCUACAGGAUUUUCAACACACUAUUAAUGCUUGGCAGUAUCUGAAAAGAGGAGAGUGCAAGUACGAUAGUAAGGCCUUAAAACGUCUUCACGGUGAGACACUAUUGAAUUUUGAUUGUAUCUCUUUAUGGGAAUGGAAACAAAACAGGUUAUAUAAGAAAGUUAAUGGGAAGUAAGCUAGCUGAUAAACAGAAGAAGUUUCCUUUCUCUCUUUCAGAAGAGGAGAAGACUAUGAUCGUGCAAUUUUAACUAGAGUGAAUAGUGUGUACAUCCAAUCUUGAAAAGGUGAAUAAUAAGUAUUAUUUUGAGCCCGCUUCUUUGGAAGAGAUAGUCUGGUAAGGACUUUGGUUCCUUUAUUUCCAGUUGGGGUCUUUAACAAGAUACAAUUACCAAUACACUAAAUUUUAUAUCCCUUAUGCAAGAAAAUUGUGACAUCCCUAUGUUCAUGGUCCUGUAGGGACAACAAAGUAUACAAUUUCAAAAUGGAUAAGGCUACGUAUAAUAUUUGUCAUGAAGUGUGGAAGUUUUUUUAAAUUAGGCAGAGACUAUUGAUCUAUGUCUAAAAUGUUUGCUUAUGGAAUUGUCUUAUGCACUUAAUAUAUUAUAAUAGAAGUAACUAAUUAUGCCUCAAGCUCGUACAUAGACUAUUGGAUAUUGUCUGUUUAAACUUUAGU